rnacentral:rRNA from 1 species
GUCUCUGGCCAUACCACUCUGAGCAAGCCUGAUGUCUGAUCUCAGAAGCUAAGUAGAGUCAGGCCUGGUUAGUACUUGGAUGGGAGACCACCUAGGAAGACCAGGUGGAGUAGGCA